AUCACUUGUUGGCCUUUUGGCUAAGGAAAAGCGUAGUAUCUGUUCUUACCAGUGUAAUUAUUGAGCCCUCUGGAAGGGCUAACAUGUGAGGAAGACCUGGUGCUGUGGUUCUCUCUGUAGGUUGGAUCAGAAGUCUCCGGAGUGACCAAAACCAGGACAUUGUCAUCACAGAUCUUGGCUAGAGCCCCCUUGGGGCACUGUGAAUGGCCACUCCUC
rnacentral:snRNA from 1 species